GUGCACUCCGGGCCGGUCCCCACCCCUGCUCAGGGAGAGGACAGCUGGGGGCCACGCACGGGAACUAAAGUCUCCGCGGUCAUAUCUGAGUCUUCCGGCCGCCCCCGCCGCCCUCCAGCGCCUCCUGGACGACCUGCCACAUGCCCUGGGCCACGACCUGGUACUGGGAGCCACGGUCCUGCCCUUCCUCUGCUGAGGAUGAGAUGCUCUGACAGGCUUCCAGGAAGCGGCCCUCCAAGACCAGCUGUGAGAAUCCUAGAAGGAGGGAACCCGAGGCCAGUGGCUCAGGGGGUGCUGCAGGAGGGGGCAGCAGGUGGUGCUGGGCCCGGAAUCGCACUGGAGACCUGCUUCUCAACGGUAUCCAAGGGGCGACCAACCCCCGCCUCUUUCCACACACGGGACAGGCAGUGAGAGAGACGAUCGACAGAUACACAGCUUCCCGUGUGUGGUUCACGCUGUAUCUCCACGGGACAGCCCUCUCCUGGAGCUCGCACACCGCCCCCUUCCGAAC
ensembl:lncRNA